GAUGAACGCUAGCGGCAUGCCUUACACAUGCAAGUCGAACGGCAGCAUGGAGAGCUUGCUCUCUGAUGGCGAGUGGCGAACGGGUGAGUAAUGCAUCGGAACGUACCGUGUAAUGGGGGAUAACGUAGCGAAAGUUACGCUAAUACCGCAUACGACCUGAGGGUGAAAGCAGGGGAUCGCAAGACCUUGCGUUAUACGAGCGGCCGAUGUCAGAUUAGCUAGUUGGUGAGGUAAAGGCUCACCAAGGCGACGAUCUGUAGCGGGUCUGAGAGGAUGAUCCGCCACACUGGGACUGAGACACGGCCCAGACUCCUACGGGAGGCAGCAGUGGGGAAUUUUGGACAAUGGGGGCAACCCUGAUCCAGCCAUGCCGCGUGAGUGAAGAAGGCCCUCGGGUUGUAAAGCACUUUCAGUAGGGAGGAAGGAUGUUGUGUUAAUAGCACAGCAUUUUGACGUUACCUACAGAAGAAGCACCGGCUAACUCUGUGCCAGCAGCCGCAGUAAGAC
rnacentral:rRNA from 1 species